AUGACCUCAGACCUGUGGCUCUCACCUCUGGUCAUGAAGGCCAUGGAAGGGAUCAUCAAGGAUCACAUCACCAAGGCAACUGGCUCGAUGACGGACCCGCGGCAGUUUGCCUACCAGGCUGGUAGGGGAGUUGAUGACGCGAAAAUAUUCAUCAUAAAUACCAUCCACAAGCAUCUUGAAAUCCCCAAGACCACAGCCAGACUUCUGUUUGCAGACUUCUCAUCGGCAUUCAACAGCAUGCAGCCACACAUUCUGGCUGAGAAGCUCAUCACACGCUUCCAUCUCAACCACCAACUCACUCUGUGGAUUAUUGACUUCCUCACCAAAAGGUCACAGAGGGUGUUGGUGAACCACACCCUGUCCGAUACCCUCUUCACCUCCACAGGCUCUCCACAAGGAUGUGUCCUCCACCCACUCCUCUUCAUUCUCUACACAGAUGACUGCAGAUCCACCCAGCCUGAUUGUCACCUUGUGAAAUUCGCUGAUGACACAGUCCUCCUGUCUCUGCUUCCCAGCCACACACAACAUCACAGCUCAGCUCUGCAGGACUUUACAGAAUGGUGUGAAGGCUCUGGUCUUGAGCUCAACAUCACUAAGACCAAGGAUAUGAUUGUGACCUUCUCCCCCAAACAGAAACAGGUGGCUGAGGCAGUCACCAGUAUCAUCCAGGGGGAGCCAGUGGAGAGAGUAGAGGAAUACAAAUACCUAGGAACAUUAUUUAACAACCUGCUAAAGUUAACUCCUCUAACACAUAGGAAAUCCUUAAAAAGUGCCAUCAGAGACAAUACCUACUCAGGAAGCUGGAGUCAUUUGGGAUCAAUAAGGAGAUUCUCACCACAUUCUUAUGCCUUCAUUGAAAAUGUAAUAACCUUUUCUUUCACUAGCUGGUUCCACUCCAUCCCCCUGCAAAACAAGAACCGCCUGUUGAAUGUGGUUAAGGUCUGCUCAAAGAUCAUUGGGCAGCCUGUCCGAGCUCUCUCCCCCCUAUAUGACCAACAGACUGUAAAAUCUGCCCGUAGGAAUCUUCAGGCCCCCUCCCAUAUCCUGUUUACUGAGUUUGAGUUGCUCCCCUCCGGACGUAGACUCCGCUGUCCAUUCUGUUGGACACAAAGGAGGAAGGCAACCUUAAUGCAGGGCUGUCCAGCUCCUUACUGCUGA
rnacentral:lncRNA from 1 species